rnacentral:rRNA from 1 species
GACGAACGCUGGCGGCGUGCUUAACACAUGCAAGUCGAACGGAAAGGCCCCUUUGGGGGUACUCGAGUGGCGAACGGGUGAGUAACACGUGAGUAACCUGCCCUUGACUUCGGGAUAACUUCAGGAAACUGGGGCUAAUACCGGAUAGGAAUCCUUGCUGCAUGGUGGGGGUUGGAAAGCUUCGGCGGUUUUGGAUGGACUCGCGGCUUAUCAGCUUGUUGGUGGGGUAGUGGCUUACCAAGGCUUUGAUGGGUAGCCGGCCUGAGAGGGCGACCGGCCACAUUGGGACUGAGAUACGGCCCAGACUCCUACGGGAGGCAGCAGUGGGGAAUAUUGCACAAUGGGCGGAAGCCUGAUGCAGCAACGCCGCGUGCGGGAUGACGGCCUUCGGGUUGUAAACCGCUUUCAGCAGGGGCGAAGCUUGUGGUGACGGUACCUGCAGAAGAAGCACCGGCUAACUACGUG